rnacentral:rRNA from 1 species
CGGGUGAGUAACGCGUGAGGAACCUGCCUUGAAGAGGGGGACAACAGUUGGAAACGACUGCUAAUACCGCAUGAAGCAUAGGGGUCGCAUGAUCUUUAUGCCAAAGAUUUAUCGCUUCAAGAUGGCCUCGCGUCCGAUUAGCUAGUUGGUGAGGUAACGGCCCACCAAGGCGACGAUCGGUAGCCGGACUGGGAGGUUGAACGGCCACAUUGGGACUGAGACACGGCCCAG